CCCCAGAUGCAGAUUGGCUGAAAACCCUAGCGCUAUGUCUCUUGCCUCUAACUGGCGGCUCCUCCUUCUCUGAUUUCCCUUCAGCUCCAAACCGCCGCAGCACCCUCCGGCCUCCUCCCAUCUCCUUCCCUAACCCCAGGCGCCUCCUCCCGUUCGCAUCUGCCGGCCGCCGCGUCGUCCCCUCGCACCCUUCUACUCACCCGGCUCCAUCCAAUUCCAAACCCUAGCCUGUAGCCGCCCCUGCCUCUCCUUGCGAGUCAUACAACAGCGCAGCCCCUCCAGGCACCUUGCCGCCUGCUAGCCGCAACGCUGCCGCUCCCCACCCGUAGUGCCGGGUGGGCCGCCGCCGCCACGAGGACCCUGGACCGCCGCCACUACGACGGGCCGGCGUGGCGCUCCUCUCCAAGAUCGGCCGCCGUUCAUCUCGUCCUCAGGCUCUCUCGGUCUCUCCCUCCCUUCCGCAGCCAUCUUGGAUCAGUCUGACCUUCACUGGCCUGGCAUCAGCGUUCAUCGGUUAUGGUUUAUGUCGGUUUCAGGGGCUGCUGACCCCAGCUAACCCUGUGAUGUCAACUGAUGUUUCUGCUCAAGAUAACAACAGGCAUUGCUGCCUUGCUGAUCUGAUUUGCAGGUUGGUGUGUACGCACCGAGAGGGGGGAUUAAACAUAUCCAAUUUCAAGAGGCGAUAUCAUGCGAAUUAUGUUUUCAGUCAAAAAUAGAUAAUGAAUAUUUUGCUUUGCAAGGAUAGCUACUUGGCCGUGCACUACUAGUUAGCUCUCUACCUUACAAAGCUUUGUUCAUUGAUCAAACCUGUUACUUUUGUUCUGGUUUCAUCAGUACAGCUUCUUGUGAUUCAGUCUCUGUACUUGCUGCAAAGCUGUACUACACCUGCUGGUUCUGCAUCCUAGUUUUACUGUCAUCAUGAUUAUGUGGGAAAACAUUUGCGGAGAUUGUCGCAGUGCUUCGAGAUGAACAAGCCAUAGCCAUAUCUUUUUUGUAGUGACCAUAUACUGAUGUUCUGGGUGUUCCACUCUUUGUCUCUUUCAGUAUUUUGAUGUUGAUCACUCCUUUAUUUAUGGUCUGUUCAUCUGGUAGUUGUAUUGUUAGUUCACAUGGUAUCAAGAUGACUAGUGCAUUAUGAUGUCUAAAAGCCCACACUGACUUGUCUGAAAGUGCAACUUUACGCUUUCUUAUAAUCAAUUUGUCAGACAUGUCGUAAUACAGUUCCCUUGCAAUCCUGUGAAGUUUAUAUGUUGAUUCCUUGCUUACAAUUCACGUAGGUUCCCAAAUUUGAAGCAUUUUAGAUUUGUGUCUGUUCAAUGUUCAGCAUGCGAUUUUUUUUCCAAGUCUUCUUAUCAAGACCAUUAGGCACACCUUGAUUCAGACCGCAUUUAGAAGAAAGAGGGAGAACAGGUGAAUAAAUAAGCAGUGUCAUCAUCACUUUAUUUAUCUAAUGGUAGCAGACAUUUUUUUUCCAGGGCAUUUGCCUUUUUUUAUUUAUUUCUCGUCUCAUCAUCUUAGCUUAUUAUUUGAAUCUCCAUUUGGCCUGCAACUGUUGCAUUUGUUGUACUGUUUAUUUCGACAUGUCCAUGAAUAGAACUGAUCAAAAGAAUAUGUUUAUUUGACAUGUCAGGAAUAGAACUGAUCAAAAGAAUUUAUUUCACUGGCCAGGUUUUUGUUGCAGAGGAUGAGUGCAAAAGGAAGCACAGGAAGUAGGACAACUGUUUUUUUAAUUAGUUUUAUGUUAGAAUUGACUGAAAGAAGAUAGAACAUUCAGGGAAAGGUGUCUAUCUGUUUCAUUUAUAUCUAUCAUAUGGAACAAAUUACUAGAACUCCUUUUUCUAUGGCGAGUACUGAAAAACAAUACUGCUAAUAAAUAGUUCAUAUUGCAUAUGUGCAGUAUAAGUUUCAGAAUAUUAAGUCAUAUUCCUAUGCUUAUUGUUAUUAGUUUUGGUGAUUAAUUCAUGCAGGCAAGAAGACAACAUGUGCAUAAUCUGCACAAUGCUACAAGAUAACUGGACCAGCUAGCACAGCCACACCGGACAUUUCUGCAAAAAGAUAGCAAGUCAGAAAUAUGCCUUGAGAUCUAGGCUGAGGAUCAUAUGCAAGGAUCAUUGCUAGCCAGUGCUGCACAUUUCAUUAGCUUCAUGUUCACGGAAAUACUUCUGUAGCUGAUGUAUUGGUAGCAUUGCUCGAAACAAAAUAGAUUCAGUUUUUCAGCAUCAACUAUAUGUGUUUGUCUAACUGCAUGAAAUUGAGUCCUUAGAUGCAACUAUUUUUUAGAAUUAUAUCUGCAAUGAUAAAAGUUAAACAUACUUUAGCUACAUUCUGAUAAUUUUAUGGUUCGCAAUGAAACUUUGGUUCGCUA